AAAGCCCAGCGCUUAAGGUUUUGGUCGUUUCGGCCUAGACCGGUGUAGCGUAUAGAGGCGACUGUCCUUGGUCGAUGCCGAUAUAAGUUCCCCUUGACUGGGGUACCAUAGAAGGUGCAAGUCCUGUUCUGUCGGUGUUGGCUGUGGUUGGUUGUUUCUUGGAGUCGGGUUGCUUGGGAUCGCAGCUCAAAGUUGGUGGUAAACUUCAUCUAAGGCUAAAUACGGCCACGAAACCGAUAGCAAACAAGUACCGUGAGGGAAAGUUGCAAAGUACUUUGAAGAGAGAGUUCAAGAGGACGUGAAAUUGGUAAGAUCGAAACGGAUAGUGCCAACGUAUCUCACCAGUAUUCAGCGUUCAGUCGGCGCACAGCGUUGUGUUGUCGUUCUCGAUGAGACGAUGCAUGGUGUUGAGGUGCAGGCUGGGCGUGCAUUUGCUGGUUUGGUGCGCUGAGAGGUACGAUCUUUGGCAUUGGUGAAACGCGUUUAGAGGACCUUGUCUUCGGACUCGGAACCCUGGAUUGUUGUCUAACCUUAGCUGGUUGUGCUUAUCAUUACGUCCUGGCCUACGCUAUGGCGCGUUUUUCGGAAAUUACCUAGGUGAAACGCGUGCGUUUUUGCCUUCGUUGGUGACCGAUUGAGCGUGUCGUAGAUCAGAGACGUUGUCUCGGCGUAAAAGUUGGUCUACUAACCGACCCGUCUUGAAACACGGACCAAGGAGUUUAGCGUAUGUGCGAGUCAUUGGGUGUUAAACCUAAAGGCGUAAUGAAAGUAAAGGAACGAAAGUCCUGAUAUGCGAUCUUAGCGGUUUCGGCCGUUGUGAGCAGCAUAGCCCCGUCUCAAUUGCUUGCAAUGGGGCGGAGGUAGAGCAUAUGCGCUGAGACCCGAAAGAUGGUGAACUAUGCCUGUGCAGGAUGAAGCCAGAGGAAACUCUGGUGGAAGUCCGAAGCGGUUCUGACGUGCAAAUCGAUCGUCUGACAUGGGUAUAGGGGCGAAAGACUAAUCGAACCAUCUAGUAGCUGGUUCCCACCGAAGUUUCCCCCAGGAUAGCUGGAGCUCAUAGUGUAGUUACACUCGGUAAAGCGAACGAUUAGGAAAUUUGGGGUCGAAAUGACCUUGAUUCAUUCUCAAACUCUAAAUGGGUGUGAUGCCGACGUUUCUUGAUUGAACGUUAGCGUUGAAUACGAGCUCCAAGUGGGCCAUUUUUGGUAAGCAGAACUGGCGCUGUGGGAUGAACCAAACGCGGUGUUAAGGUGCCAAACUUCCCGCUCAUGAGACCCCAUAAAAGGUGUUGGUUGAUAUAGACAGCAGGACGGUGGCCAUGGAAGUCGGAAACCGCUAAGGAAUGUGUAACAACUCACCUGCCGAAUCAACUAGCCCUGAAAAUGGAUGGCGCUUGAGCGGGAGACCUAUACUCCGCCGUUAGUGACUUGAGCGCUGAAAGGCGUCGCCUGGUCCUAACGAGUAGGUGGGUCGUAACAGUGGCGUUGAAGGCUUUGGGUGUGGACCCAGCUGGAGCCGCUGUUAGUGCAGAUCUUGGUGGUAGUAGCAAAUAUUCAAGUGAGAUCCUUGAAGACUGAAGUGGAGAAGGGUUCCACGUGAACAGCAGUUGGAUGUGGCUCAGUCGGUCCUAAGCCAACGGCUAAUGCCGUCAAACAUUGAGGGAGGAAUGGUCAAACAUUCCGCUCGAUUGGCGAAAGGGAAGCAGGUUAAUAUUCCUGCACCAGGACACGGAGAUGGCUGGAUCGCUUCACGGCGGUUCAGUUAAGCGCGGUAACGCAAAUGAACAUGUCAACCUUGGCCAGGGUCCGAGUCAGAGUUCUCUUUUCUGAUUUAGACGUCGAAUCCGUGGAAACGGUUUAGCCGGAGAUACGGAUGAUGGCGUCGUAAAGCACCGCGGUUCCUGUGGUGUCUCGUGCGCUCUGGUCGAGCCUUGAAAAGGCAUGGGAAGCUUAGUAAAUUUCGUGCCUGGCCGUACCGAUAUCCGCAGCAGGUCUCCAAGGUGAACAGCCUCUAGUCGAUAGAAUAAUGUAGGUAAGGGAAGUCGGCAAAUUAGAUCCGUAACUUCGGGAAAAGGAUUGGCUCUAAAGGUUGGGCUGGUCGGGCUUUGGUGUGAAGCGCGGAGGUUCGGCGCGUGGCUGCACGAGGCUUCGGCCGAGUGCGGACUAGUCGUUGGACUACUGCGUGGAGCGCCUUAGCUGCGUGCGUAGUUUCGGCUGCGUACUUCGGCCAGCGUGAAACAACCCACUUAGAACUGGCACGGACUCGGGGAAUCCGACUGUCUAAUUAAAACAGAGGAGAUGGAUGGUCCUUGUGGACGUUGACCAUCUCUGAUUUCUGCCCAGUGCUCUGAAUGUUAAUUUAAGGAAACUUAAUUAAGCGCGGGUAAACGGCGGGAGUAACUAUGACUCUCUUAAGGUAGCCAAAUGCCUCGCCAUCUAAUUAGUGGCGCGCAUGAAUGGAUUAACGAGAUUCCCACUGUCCCUAUCUACUAUCUAGCGAAACCACAGCCAAGGGAACGGGCUUGGCAAAAACAGCGGGGAAAGAAGACCCUGUUGAGCUUGACUCUAGUCUGACUCUGUGAAGAAUCAUGAGAGGUGUAGCAUAAGUGGGAGGUUUCGGCCGACAGUGAAAUACCACUACUUUCAUCGAUUCCUUACUUAUUCGGUAAAACGGGAAUUGGCUUUUAACGAGCCUUGAUUUUGGUGUUAAGGUUGGACACUCGGUGUCUGAUCGACCCGCGCCGACGACCGUGUCAGGCGGGGAGUUUGACUGGGGCGGUACAUCUGUCAAAUCGUAACGCAGGUGUCCUAAGGCUAGCUCAGAGAGGACAGAAACCUCUCGUAGAGUAAAAGGGCAAAAGCUUGCUUGAUCUUGAUUUUCAGUACGAAUACAGACCGCGAAAGCGUGGCCUAUCGAUCCUUUUGAUUAAUAAAGUUUCUUGCAAGAGGUGUCAGAAAAGUUACCACAGGGAUAACUGGCUUGUGGCAGCCAAGCGUCCAUAGC
rnacentral:rRNA from 2 species